rnacentral:tRNA from 1 species
GUUUUUAAUAAAGUGUUUUGAAAACACUUAUCAAGGAAAAGUCCUUAAGAGCCA